CGUAGGAGGCGAGCGUUGUCCGGAUUUACUGGGCGUAAAGCGCGCGCAGGCGGCACUUCAAGUAAGGUGUGAAAUCUCCCUGCUCAACGGGGAGGGUGCACUUUAGACUGAGGAGCUAGAGGACGGUAGAGGGGGGUGGAAUUGCUGGUGUAGCGGUGAAAUGCGUAGAGAUCAGCAGGAACACCCGUGGCGAAGGCGGCCCCCUGGGCCGUACCUGACGCUGAGGCGCGAAGGCUAGGGGAGCGAACGGGAUUAGAUACCCCGGUAGUCCUAGCAGUAAACGAUGGCCACUAGGUGUGGGGGGUGUUGACCCCUUCCGUGCCGAAGCUAACGCAUUAAGUGGCCCGCCUGGGGAGUACGGUCGCAAGACUA
rnacentral:rRNA from 1 species